CUGAUUCUUAACUCAUAAGAGGUGGGGCUUGGUCUGGGAGAGGCAAUCAGGGAAAUCUUGGGCCACACCUACUGGUUAAUUGGGGGCACACACCUGGGGUUGUGUUACCUAAUCAAGCUCAAGGUUUAAAAGUGUGCUUCUUUCCACAGUUGGUGGCUGAGACUGGGAAUUGUACAUGCUGAGCAGUUGAGAGGCUGUGUGAGAGCGAAGAUAUAUAAAUUUAAUGCCCAGCUGAAGAAAGACAUUCAGUCCGGGUUUUAAAAUUUUUUUCAGAAAUUAAUAUUUGCUUUGUUGUUUAAGUUUAUAAUUGUAACCAGUGUCCUGUGAGGGUGAAUGACAAAGUUACUUUUUUAUGUUUGAAACUGCCUCCUCAUGCACUGUCUGACUUUCACUGCUAAAGAAUAUGCUGGUGAAAACUGGAUUUUUGGCAUCUCCCUGCAUCCAGCUAUUCUGCCUGUGACAGGGGUGUGUGCCCACUCAUUCAGCUGGCACGGUCCCAGAUUGGCUUCAGUCCCUUUCCCUGACUGAGCCCUGCCGCGAAUCCCCCCCACCAGGGGGUUUGACUCUACCAUGGUGCACUUUACACUUCCAUCCCAUCUAUAUUAGUAGUUUCCUGCCUCCCAUCCUACCGUCGGAAUAAAAUGGGGCAGGGAGCACAAAAAGAGUGGGCUGAAGUCAUACUGAAGUUGCUCAAUGAAAGUGUUUCACACGUGUUUCAACCAUUUUGAAAGAGCUGGAAUUAAAAUGAAUGCUGUCUUUCUGAACUGACACAAUCAAUCAAGACAUUUAAGGGGACCUGAAAUUCAAGUUAUUGGAGCUUUUCUUAUUUAGUGUUCAUGAAUAUCUGGGACCCACAGAGCACCAGAAAAGGGGUCUGCCAGAACGUCAGGAACAGGCGGUGCGAUCAGCACCGUUGAGCGUUUUUCGUGCCAUCUCUCCUGCAGCUGUUGAUUCUCUCAAUUACGAGAGCUGAGAAUUAAUGCGAUCACCCUUAUUCUUUCAUUAGACGCAGUCCUACCGAUCAAAGCCUGGCUCCAGACCAGACUGAAAGCAGAGGGCGUGCUGAUUUUUGGAAUGGUUUUGUUUCGGAGCAGAACUUCAAGAACGUAUUUUUUGUAACUAAAAAUGCCACACUUCAUAUUUACAGUACAGGCAAACUGACAGAUCCUCGUAGCAACGCAGGCACGGCUCUAAUGUGCCACACGUGUUCUGCAGGGAGCCCCCGCCAGCUCCCUCCUGACUAACGGCACCCGACGAAACGGCAGGACGGCUCCCGACAAGAACGCGGCCGGGGUUCGAAACAAAGGGAGGGCGAUAAACAAAGGAAAACAAACAGCGCGAUGUUUCGGGGCAAAGAGCCGAGAACCCGACCCGACACAAUGAGAGGGAAACCGGAGGGGAUGUGGUGUGACGGCCGGGCUGGCCGGCUGUGCCAGGGUCCGACGCCUCUCCAGCGCUGGGGCUGGCCGUCACACAAAGAUAAGGCACACACUAUAUACAGUGCAAACUGCGCUUCGGGGACCAAUCGCUGUGCAGGAAUCCUGGCUUUCAACUUCGGCCACGAUGGAUUUUUCUCUCGAUAGCUCCGCCACGUUUUCCUUUUUGUGUUUACAAACAGAAAUUGAGGUCGCGAAGCAGUACCACACAAGAUUUGUUUUGCUGAGGAAAAGGAGGAGGGAAAAAAUGAAAGCAAAAACAGAUAUCAUGGCUAGAGAAUGGGAAAUGAGGCUUAACCUCCCAAAAGUGUUCUAUUAAAGAAAUAUGAAAAGUUUAUUGUGCUGGUGGUCUAAGAUGAAAUCUUCUGCAAAUGUGUUCCUCAUGCGAAAAAAAAAAAUUUCCCCGGGCCCACAUGUUCUGCUCUGCACUUCUCUGUGUCCGUUUCUCCAUUUCAUCCAUUCACUCACUGUCAUGUCCCUGCUUAAGACAUACAGGUUAAAAUAAAGGGAAGCGUGGACAGACAACCAACUGGAAUAGGGGAUUUGAAGAGUAAACUGACGGAUUCUCACUUGUAAAGCAAACCCACUCGGUGGUGAUUGUUUUAUUUAAUCAACAGCCCAACACUUGAGCCGUAUAGCUCCUGGUGUUCCACACACUUUGAAAACUAACAUUUUCACCUAUUUAUAUGCUAGCCAAUCACAACGUGAUGUCGGUUUACCAUUUUGAAAUAUAACCAAUCCUAAAAUGGGGUUAGUUCACCACACUCACAAAUAAAGCACACUGAGGAAAUGAGAAUAAAAGCACAUCGACCUUCAUUAACACAGCUGGGUUGCAUGCAUGCGUGUUCUGGUGGGAAAGCCACAGCUCUGAGGUUUAGAGAAAAUCCUAUUAAUAGGCCAGGAGCAAAAGUGUGUUUCCUGUUUCCUGU